rnacentral:rRNA from 1 species
UACGAAGGGUGCAAGCGUUAAUCGGAAUUACUGGGCGUAAAGCGUGCGUAGGCGGUUUGUUAAGUCUGUUGUGAAAUCCCCGGGCUCAACCUGGGAAUGGCAAUGGAUACUGGCAGGCUAGAGUGUGUCAGAGGAUGGUGGAAUUCCCGGUGUAGCGGUGAAAUGCGUAGAGAUCGGGAGGAACAUCAGUGGCGAAGGCGGCUUCCUGGCCUGUUCUUGACGCUGAGGCGCGAAAGCUGGGGGAGCAAACGGG